rnacentral:rRNA from 1 species
ACUCCUACGGGAGGCAGCAGUGGGGAAUAUUGCACAAUGGGCGCAAGCCUGAUGCAGCCAUGCCGCGUGUAUGAAGAAGGCCUUCGGGUUGUAAAGUACUUUCAGCAGGGAGGAAGGCGACAAGGUUAAUAACCUUGUCGAUUGACGUUACCCGCAGAAGAAGCACCGGCUAACUCCGUGCCAGCAGCCGCGGUAAU